GGGAGAGCUACAGCUCAUUCUGUAGUAAAAUGCUCUCAAUCUCAAUCUUAUUUAGACCUUGGGAUUAGAUCUGUCUGGUAGUCACCAGGACAGUGACUUUUGAGGGCAGGGAUAAAUGUAAUGGGUAGGAGUUAAAAGGGACUGUAGAAAAGCAGGUGUACCAUGGGGCAUUAGUACCCAGCAGUGUUGGUAGUAACAUUGUGUGUCUGUUGCUUUAAAUUCACCUAUGGGUAAUUUUGAGUUUAUAAUUCACGAUGUGUGCAUGUAAGGGAGAACAUGAGCAUUCCUGACUGUAUUGGUGAUCCCGGGAUGCUGGGAGGGUGUCCAGAUGAUAAAUUGCGUGUAAGGGAUGCAUGGCAGCUUAGCACUAGCCACUGUUUUGUAAUAUUGUUUUUGUAAUAUUGUUUUGUGAUACAAUUCUUUUGUUUGUUUGUUUUUUGUUUUGUUUUUUUGUUUGUUUUUUGGUCUUCUAAUAUUUUCUGGGUUUUGUUUGUGUCUUUCUAAGGCCUGCUUUCUAAGGCCUGAGAUUAUAGUUAAUCUUUUACAGUUUAGUUUAGCAUUUUCCCUUGCCGAUGGUGGUGGAGCCCACUGAUAUGUAGGAGUGCUGUGUAUUGGUGUUUUUUUCUGUGUAUUUUCUUUUGAUUUGUUGUUUAUCUCAUUUAUUUGUUAUUGGCUUGUUGGUGUCACUGUGAUUGGAGUGUUUAGUUUAAGGCUUCAGUGGGUAUCCCUUGUACGCUUAGGAACUGUUGUAAAUUGUACAAACAUUAUACACUUUUGAAAUUUGGACAAUGCAAAUAAAUCACAGUUGAGCUGUUUUUUUACUUAUGUUUCAGCUUUUAUUAAAUUAACUAAUAAAGACACUUUCUUGCUUCU